rnacentral:rRNA from 1 species
UACGAAGGGGGCUAGCUUUGCUCGGAAUCACUGGGCGUAAAGCGCACGUAGGCGGACUCUUAAGUCGGUGGUGAAAUCCUGGAGCUCAACUCCAGAACUGCCUUCGAUACUGAGAGUCUUGAGUCCGGGAGAGGUGAGUGGAACUGCGAGUGUAGAGGUGAAAUUCGUAGAUAUUCGCAAGAACACCAGUGGCGAAGGCGGCUCACUGGCCCGGUACUGACGCUGAGGUGCGAAAGCGUGGGGAGCAAACAGG